rnacentral:rRNA from 1 species
GACGAACGCUGGCGGCGUGCCUAAUACAUGCAAGUAGAACGCAGUUGCGAACGGGUGAGUAACGCGUAGGUAACUGCCUCAUAGCGGGGGAUAACUAUUGGAAACGAUAGCUAAUACCGCAUACUGUGAGAUGGACCUGCGUUGUAUUAGCUAGUUGGUGAGGUAAAGGCUCACCAAGGCGACGGUACAUAGCCGAACUGAGAGGGUGGUCGGCCACCCUGGGAAUGGGUACCGUCGCAGACUCCUACGGGAGGCAGCAGUAGAGGAUCAUCGGGAAUGAACGGAAGUCUGACCGAGCAACGCCGAGUGAGUGAAGAAGGUUGUCGGAUCGUAAAGCUCUGUUGUUAGAGAAGCAGUAACUAACCAGAAAGGGACGGCUAACUACGUGCCAGCGGCCGCGGUAAUAC